GUGCUCACUUCAGCAGCACAUAUACUAAAACUGAAAUGUACAGAAUAGAUUAGCAUGGCCCCUGCCCAAGGAUGACAUGCAGAUUCGUAAAGUGUUCCAUAUUUUU